rnacentral:rRNA from 1 species
UAACACGUGAGUAACCUGCCCCCGAGAGUGGGAUAGCCCUGGGAAACUGGGAUUAAUACCGCAUAGAAUCGCAAGAUUAAAGCAGCAAUGCGCUUGGGGAUGGGCUCGCGGCCUAUUAGUUAGUUGGUGAGGUAACGGCUCACCAAGGCGAUGACGGGUAGCCGGUCUGAGAGGAUGUCCGGCCACACUGGAACCGAGACACGGUCCAGACACCUACGGGUGGCAGCAGUCGAGAAUCAUUCACAAUGGGGGAAACCCUGAUGGUGCGACGCCGCGUGGGGGAAUGAAGGUCUUCGGAUUGUAAACCCCUGUCAUGUGGGAGCAAAUUAAAAAGAUAGUACCACAAGAGGAAGAGACGGCUAACUCUGUGCCAGCAGCCGCGGUAAUACAGAGGUCUCAAGCGUUGUUCGGAAUCACUGGGCGUAAAGCGUGCGUAGGCUGUUUCGUAAGUCGUGUGUGAAAGGCGCGGGCUCAACCCGCGGACGGCACAUGAUACUGCGAGACUAGAGUAAUGGAGGGGGAACCGGAAUUCUCGGUGUAGCAGUGAAAUGCGUAGAUAUCGAGAGGAACACUCGUGGCGAAGGCGGGUUCCUGGACAUUAACUGACGCUGAGGCACGAAGGCCAGGGGAGCGAAAGGGAUUAGAUACCCCUGUAGUCCUGGCAGUAAACGGUGCACGCUUGGUGUGCGGGGAAU